UACGUAGGUGACCAGCGUUGUCCGGAUUUACUGGGCGUAAAGAGCGCGCAGGCGGUCGUUCAAGUCGAGUGUGAAAGCCCCCGGCUCAACUGGGGAGGGUCAUUCGAUACUGAUCGACUCGAAGGCAGGAGAGGGAAGCGGAAUUCCCGGUGUAGUGGUGAAAUGCGUAGAUAUCGGGAGAACACCAGUGGCGAAGGCGGCUUCCUGGCCUGUUCUUG
rnacentral:rRNA from 1 species